CGAAAACGAAUUCUCUCUUGAGUGGAUCCUGAGUACGACGGAGCACGUGAAAUUCCGUCGGAAUCUGGGAGGACCAUCUCCUAAGGCUAAAUACUCUCUAGUGACCGAUAGUGAACCAGUACCGUGAGGGAAAGGUGAAAAGUACCCCGGAAGGGGAGUGAAAGAGAACUUGAAACCGUGUGCUUACAAGUAGUCAGAGCCCGUUAAUGGGUGAUGGCGUGCCUUUUGUAGAAUGAACCGGCGAGUUACGAUCUGAUGCAAGGUUAAGCAGAAAAUGUGGAGCCGUAGCGAAAGCGAGUCUGAAUAGGGCGAAUGAGUAUUUGGUCGUAGACCCGAAACCAGGUGAUCUACCCUUGGUCAGGUUGAAGUUCAGGUAACACUGAAUGGAGGACCGAACCGACUUACGUUGAAAAGUGAGCGGAUGAACUGAGGGUAGCGGAGAAAUUCCAAUCGAACUUGGAGAUAGCUGGUUCUCUCCGAAAUAGCUUUAGGGCUAGCCUCAAGUGAUGAUUAUUGGAGGUAGAGCACUGUUUGGACGAGGGGCCCCUCUCGGGUUACCGAAUUCAGACAAACUCCGAAUGCCAAAUAAUUUAACUUGGGAGUCAGAAUGUGGGUGAUAAGGUCCAUAUUCGAAAGGGAAACAGCCCAGACCACCAGCUAAGGUCCCAAAAUAUAUGUUAAGUGGAAAAGGAUGUGGCGUUGCCCAGACAACUAGGAUGUUGGCUUAGAAGCAGCCAUCAUUUAAAGAGUGCGUAAUAGCUCACUAGUCGAGUGACACUGCGCCGAAAAUGUACCGGGGCUAAACAUAUUACCGAAGCUGUGGAUUGUCCUUUGGACAAUGGUAGGAGAGCGUUCUAAGGGCGUUGAAGCAUGAUCGCAAGGACAUGUGGAGCGCUUAGAAGUGAGAAUGCCGGUGUGAGUAGCGAAAGACGGGUGAGAAUCCCGUCCACCGAUUGACUAAGGUUUCCAGAGGAAGGCUCGUCCGCUCUGGGUUAGUCGGGUCCUAAGCUGAGGCCGACAGGCGUAGGCGAUGGAUAACAGGUUGAUAUUCCUGUACCACCAUUAUUCGUUUUAAGCGAUGGGGGGACGCAGUAGGAUAGGCGAAGCGUGCUGUUGGAGUGCACGUCCAAGCAGUGAGAUUGAGUGUUAGGCAA
rnacentral:rRNA from 1 species